CUCCUACGGGAGGCAGCAGUGAGGAAUAUUGGUCAAUGGGCGCAAGCCUGAACCAGCCAUGCCGCGUGCAGGAUGAAGCAUCUAUGGUGUGUAAACUGCUUUUGUACGGGAAGAAACAGCUCUUCGUGAAGAGCCUUGACGGUACCGUAAGAAUAAGGAUCGGCUAACUCCGUGCCAGCAGCCGCGGUAAUACGGAGGAUCCAAGCGUUAUCCGGAAUCAUUGGGUUUAAAGGGUCCGUAGGCGGCCCUGUAAGUCAGUGGUGAAAUCUCCCGGCUCAACCGGGAAAUUGCCAUUGAUACUGCAGGGCUUGAAUUACUGGGAAGUAACUAGAAUAUGUAGUGUAGCGGUGAAAUGCUUAGAGAUUACAUGGAAUACCAAUUGCGAAGGCAGGUUACUACCAGUGGAUUGACGCUGAUGGACGAAAGCGUGGGUAGCGAACAGGAUUAGAUACCCUGGUAGUCCACGCCGUAAACGAUGGAUACUAGCUGUUGGGCGCAAGUUCAGUGGCUAAGCGAAAGUGAUAA
rnacentral:rRNA from 1 species